GAUGAACGCUGGCGGCGUGCCUAAUACAUGCAAGUCGAGCGAACAGACGAGGAGCUUGCUCCUCUGACGUUAGCGGCGGACGGGUGAGUAACACGUGGAUAACCUACCUAUAAGACUGGGAUAACUUCGGGAAACCGGAGCUAACACCGGAUAAUAUAUUGAACCGCAUGGUUCAAUAGUGAAAGACGGUUUUGCUGUCACUUAUAGAUGGAUCCGCGCCGCAUUAGCUAGUUGGUAAGGUAACGGCUUACCAAGGCGACGAUGCGUAGCCGACCUGAGAGGGUGAUCGGCCACACUGGAACUGAGACACGGUCCAGACUCCUACGGGAGGCAGCAGUAGGGAAUCUUCCGCAAUGGGCGAAAGCCUGACGGAGCAACGCCGCGUGAGUGAUGAAGGUCUUCGGAUCGUAAAACUCUGUUAUUAGGGAAGAACAAAUGUGUAAGCAACUAUGCACGUCUUGACGGUACCUAAUCAGAAAGCCACGGCUAACUACGUG
rnacentral:rRNA from 1 species